rnacentral:lncRNA from 1 species
AUAACCUCGACGAAAAUUGUAGUGACCUCAUUCAUCAGUACUCAUUUUAGCUUAAUAUUUUUCAACCUUAAACGAGACAACAGGUGUAUCCGGACAUUACAUAUUUUUCCAUAUACCCGAAGCAUGAGAACUUAAACUUUGUCUUAACAUUGAAAAGGUGGACUGAAAUACAGCUCUGAAUAUUGCAUCUAAUGGAUCUUUACUCUUUUCUUUAUAUAUAUUUAGUAUUUAUUAAAUAACCGAUACAGUUUUGACUACAUUUAGAAUGAAGAACUACUUAUGAAAUAUCAAGAGGAUCUAAAUGAAUAUGCAAGAUAAUUAAUGAAAAUUACAAAUAUAGGUUUUAUUGAUGAUAACUUCGACAAAAAAUUGUAGA